GCACAGUCACAAACAUGAAUCAAUUAUCAUCAUACAUUGGAUUUGUGAAAAAGAACAUAACAAUGAUGUUUAUGAAGCAAUGUACAAAUAAUGAAUCAGGAUGAACAUUACCAAAUAAUUGCAAAUCAAAGAAGGCAUGUGAUUAGAGGUCAAAUGUGGGUACUUCUACAUUGAACCCAUUAAUGAGCUGAAAAAGAGUCCUUGGGAAUAUGUUCCUGUAGGGGUCUUUCUCUCUCUUCUCCUGAAGGUAAGCAAGACACCUCUCCACCUCACACUUCACAUCCAUAUACAGCUCCUGAGCUUUCGCUUUAUCUCUCAGCUCCUGUUUUCUCCCUUCAUUCAACAAGCAAGUAAUAGUCGUGAUCAGGAUCAAAUUGUUUGUAUAAAUGUUUUUGUUCUAUCUAAUCAGGGUCAAACCCAAUCAAACUUUGCAUUCGAGAUCUUUCGACUCGGUAAUACGCAAACUGUCGGUGUUUGAUCAAAGAAUGCAGAGAGGAUAGUAGCAGAUAUUCCUACUAUCUACCCAAACAAAAUAGCUAGCAUGAGGAAAAUAUUCCCAACGUGCGUUUAUUUCUGGAGAUAGCAAUUCCAUGGAGUAUUGGUGGAAUAGCGUGGGACAGAAGUGCUACAGAACUAUCAAGAUGGACGACUAUGGGAUAUCUAGAUGCUACAGAACUAUCCAAAUGUUUAAACUUUUUCUUCUUUUUUCUAUUUUUAACUCUUUUUGGGGAGAGAGGGUUGAGGUACCUCUUGUUUCGAUUGGCUUGCCGAACAGGAAAUAAAAUCGGCCCGGGAUCUUCGGCAACAGCCCAGGAGCGUAAAGAUCUUGAUUACCAACCUCCCCAUUAAAAUCAGCCCUAUUUUAGAAGAGAGAGAGAGAGAGAGAGAGAGAGAGAGAGAGAGAAAUUGAAUAAGAUUUAAGAACCAGUCCAAACUAAAGAAAACACAAAGUUGUUACUGAAUUUUUUGUUAUAGUUUGAAAUUAACUUCAAGGGACAAAGAAUGGAACAAAAUAGUCAAUGGUGUUUAGCAUGGAGUACAUCAUACCUCACCCUUACAGCUGCUUCAUUUAUCCUCUUGUCUAGGAUGUCAUAAAAGGGAACUUUGACAAGAUCAUCAUAAUCUAACAGCAGCUGGAAAAAGAAGUUUAAAGGCUCUCCACUAUUUAAUCAUUUUUUAAAUUAUAACAUUGACCCAAUUAAGCCCAACAAAAAGGUAAACAUGCAACCGAGAUUUUAUUAGUAUAAUAUAGUUGUUAAAAAAAAAAAUUAAACAAGCACUUACUUCACAUAUAUCAUCUUCUCCAAUGACACCAAACGGAAUUAUUGUGGCUCCAAAACUCGAUGCCAUUCUGACAAACUCGGAUUGCUUGGGCCAAAAUAAUUUAUAUUGCUCACCCUGAAAGCAAUGGAAGCUCAACAAUAAACUAAAUCAAAUUUCACAGCUGAUGUGUUAUAUUUUACGUGAAUUGGGUUGCACACAGUUUACUCAAUAGCAUUAUCAAUCAAAAAAUACUUGGAAAUUACCUCCUUAUGCAGUUUUACUGAUGAAACUGGGUAGAAAAUACAAUAUAGUCAUGACAAUGGCAAUAAUUUCAAUGUUUUCUAAAAAAAGAUGACAAUAGUGUUGCUCAAGUACCUAUUUUGCUCAAGUACCUAUCAAUGGCACUAAUACAACCCAUUUAGCCACUACCAAAAAUUGCAUGGUAAUAACAUUUACACAUACCCCAGCUUCUAAGGCUAUAUAACAUAAAUACCCCUGAUGGAUACCAUAUUAUGUCUCUACAGUAUAAAAGUAAUUGAUAUAUUAAAAAUUUUGUUUCUUGAUUAAAUAAUGCAACACUACAGCCGGAUAUAUACUUUUGGGGGUUUGGAGUAGUGUAAUACAAUGUAAGCAAAUAGACAAAUCAUAGGCUUUAGAAAAUGCACUCUGUAACUCUCGCUUUUAUAUAGAGAAAAUUGCACAUAGGAAGGUCUAAUAUUAUAUAGUAAAUUUUCAGUAUUUUUUACUCAUAAGUAACCAUAAUGGAAAGCAAAUGAACAAAAUUUUACUUCAAAAUAAUCAAUUGUAGAGCGACCUUACGAAGUAAUUACUAAGAUUAGAAAUCACCUUUCUGUGAAGAGCUUCUCGCGCGCCUCCUGGAUACAGCAGAACAAAGCACUUUUGGGAAAGCAGCCUAUAGAGAUUGGUGGCUGAGACAGGAACAGCACCCAUAAUUCUAUAUCGAUCAAACGAAGCUGAAUCGGGCAUAAGCUUCUCUGAAGUCCUAUUGAACAUAAAAGGAUGAGCGAUGCCUCGAAGAAGGAUCCCUCUCUCGUUCAAGAAGGUAGUAGCUAAGGGGCCGAGCUCUAGGCCCAAUAACAUGUGGUAUCCAACAAGAAUAGUGGGCCCUUUGUUAGGAAUACCUUCUAGGCCUUUGACUAUUUUCCCGUCUUCUAAAGUCGAAAGCAUCACAGGGCUGGAGGCAAAAUUGAUCAACCUGAAAUUCAAAAUAAUUUAAGAAAUUUGCGAUUUUGAGAUAAGUAUCCAAUUACUUCACUAGAAGUGCGAGGUUGAGUAAUACUAGUGUACCUAUACUCUUCUAUAACCUUCUGGAGUUCGUUAGGAGUUGGCAAUAGAUAGUCUGAUACAUAAUUUAUCUGCCUUGAUCGGCGAUAAUAACCAGCUCCCUUUAUAAUUGUCACCAAAUCAAUCCCACCUUCCUGUAUAAGAUGGUAUAUAUUUCAUAUAAGCACUUAACAUGCAAGUAUAAAGCCAGGAAUUAAUAUUUUUAUUUUUGUUAAACUCAAACUGCAUUUUGUGAGAUAUGAAGAUGAAUAUAACCAUGUCUAUCAAAUUUCUUCAUUCAAUUUCAAAAUUGAACAUGGUAUAAGAAGCAAAAAGGAAAGCCCUCAAAACUAUCUAUUCGAUAUUCUACAUCUAUUGAUCGAUCACAUUACAUUUGUUGCUUUAUAGCUUACGGACCUAAAUCAACAUUCAAGAAAUGAUGGGAAAAAAAAGGGGCAGCUAGUUGUAAAAAGAGAUCAUAGGGAGCUGUUAGCAAGCAAUGUACCAACCCAAUAUGUCACAUCAAUAAGAGCCUCAAACUUUAUAGAGAUUGUAAAACAAAGUUGUAGUACGAUAUAUAGAAGUAAUGAGCAUACCAAGAAAAUUGUAUGACCAUUAUCCUUGAAAUGACGGAUUCUGCAAUUUGGCAAUGUACCAGAAAGCCUUUCAGCUUCUUCUCGGCUAGGUAGCAAUUCGUCGCGCCCACUAAAAGAAGGACAGCAAUAUCAAGCCAAUCAUCCUCACAUGAAUUCAUAAACUUUAAAAACCAUAAAUACUCAUCUGCACCACCUUUUUCUUGCAAUUCUGAAAAUAAUUAGCACGCAGUAUAGUGAUAACAAAUUAUCAAUUCUUAGACCUACUUAUUCUAAGAUAACUUUCAGAUUUUCCUCCCUCUGAACAGAAUCAACGACAUUGAUUGAAAUGACAUAACUGAAAAUUUAUAAAGGUGUAUGCAACUUGGAUUUGCUUGCUAUGCAGUCAUUAUAGUGCCUUUUUAGCUACGAGAAAAGGGUAGGGGAAAUUUUGACAAGUGAAAGCAGGAAUGAUUUUUUUUUGUUAUAUAUGGAUAUACCAAUUUUUUUUCUUUUUCUUUAUGUCAUACUAAACUUCAGUAAUAUGCCAAAACAUUGUCAAAGGAAAUAUAUAAAAGUAUCAAUAACCUGGCAAGUAUCAAUGUUUCAGCUUUCACUGCAUGUAGACGCGAAUUGACAAAAGAUGAUGCCAAUCUUAACAUCCUUAACUUCCAGAGAAGAGAUUCUUUUGGUAAAACCUCAACCAAAAACUGUAACACAAAGCUUGUGCAUAAAUUUCCCAUAUCAUAGCAAGAAAUAUAUGAGGAAUAUGAAAGGGAAAAAAAAAUCAUAUAUUGCAAGAUAGUAAAUUCGCAGCAUUAUGCCAACAUUUUUCUCAUUACAAUUGGGAUAUAUUCAAAUAAAACUCCAGCUCCUGUAGCACACAACAUACGUCCUGAAGAUAGAAUGUAACACUAAUAGAAAAUGCAAAUACAAUUAUACAAAGGAAGCAUAAAAUUGAUUCGAAAGAACAGAAUAUCAGUUGAAACUGAGGAAACUAACCUGUAUUAGAUAGCAUUUACAUGAAUAGGAUAUUAAUGCAAACUCAUCCACAGUGAGAACCAAAAUCAAAUUUCUUCACUUAUCGAUGACAGUUUAAAACUCACCGAAAGGAAAGGGAGCGCAUCAUUAAGGCUCUCUGAAAAUGUUCUGAUAGCUUCUUCAAGUGAGAGAUCGCCUCCUACAUAAGAUGAUGUCAUCCUCAUGGAAUUACCUAAAACAAAACAAGAACAUUUUAGUAGCAGGACUAAGAUAAGAGGAAAAAAAUGUUAUUCAAGAUAACAAGAUUGCUGAACAACUUGCUGAUCCACUAUGCAACGAAAGACGAAUAUUAGUAAUAAUUUCAUUUUACUUGUGAGUCAUAAAAUAACAAAUAUAAACAAUCGUUUAUUCCACUUCGUGAAUUGGAACAGAAGAAACGGCUACUUAGACAGUAUUAAAGCAUAUAUCGCACACAAACCUCCAAGAAGACUAAAGAAAUAUGGAAUGGUUACAUGGAGUGGUUCCGGCACGGCAUCUAAGAAAGCUGAGAGAGAUUGCAAUUGAGAAUUUGGGAAGGAAGUCGCUGCAAGAUGAGAUCAAUCACGGAGUUAACUGCAUAGAAUACUUGAUCAAUCAAAAGAAUAACCAAAGAAAAUGUAAAAGAAUUUGUAAUUAAACCUGGAUUAGCUAAGAUGAGUAUCAAGUCAAUUUCCGGGUUGCGUGCUGCCACAGCAAGAGCAAGACAUGCACCGAUAGAUUCACCAACGAGAUAAAUUGGCUUUUCUGGUGACUUCAAUUUUUCUGAUUUCACUGUUCUCUCCACAUAUUCAAUUAGAUCUGUAAUCCACCAAAAAUAAAAGAAGGAAAAAAAAGAAAGAAAGAUGAGGCUAAGUGGAAAUUCAUGAAAAGAGUUCUAGGGCUUGAAUGGCCUGGCAGGGGAUUCUAUAGAAGUGCUAUUUAAUUAAAGAUUUUUGAUGAAAUGCAUAAACAUAAAGCUUUUCUUGAAGACCCGUUUAUUAGCUUCCUACUGCAAUAAGAAACAAAAGCUUUGAAUUAGAGCAUCAACUUUUUCAGGACCAAGAAGCUGCUUUCAACUUCCAAUCAUGGGCAGACACUUUAGGCUUCUGAUUGCCAAACAACCACCUUUUGUUUCUCAAAUAGAAAAGUUGUUUUAGAAGCUAGACCCACCCAACAAACGCUGAUAAGGAAAACCAUUUACAAUGGCCAAAAUUGAAGUUCGAGAACACUAUCUAUUUUUUAUAUGAAUGAAAAAGGGAUCACACCACCAAAAUAUAUCCCUCCCCAAUAAAAAACAAUAUAUACACGUAAAUCCAGCUCAUAGUAAACAAUACUAUAUCCAAAUACCCCUAAAUAAUCCUAGGACACUAACAAAUCCUGGUACACCCAAACAUGUCAACCAAUCAGAGAGAGAGAGAGAGAGAGAGAGAGAGACCUUCAAAUGGUGUCCGAUCCAUUACUGGUAUAUGGAGGCACCAAAUAUCAAAAAUCCUGUAGAAAGAAACAUGUUACUCAAUCAAAUAACAGCACAAUUCAAACACAAAAAAAAGAGCAAAAAAUAGGAAAAAAAAAAAACAACAAACUAAUAUCACCCUAUUCACUUACUUCCCCAAUCUCUCAUGAUGCCGGAUUAGACCAACCCCAACUCCAUCAAUCCCUAAAAUAACACACAAAAUGUGAAAAUAAUGACUAUUUUUAAAUAGACGAUGCACGAUAUACCUAAUCCGUUAUGUGGAAAUAGCCCAGGAGUGUACUUAAACCGCAAAUGUGGACCUUAUAGAAUUAGAGCAUCUUAGAAUCGUGAAAUAAUUGUUUUUAUUCAACACUGUUUCUUCCGUUUCUUUCACUCUCGACUGCGAAAGUAAUAUUGUUUUCCAUCUAAAAAAUUAAAAUUAGGAGAUCACGAUUUCGUAAUGAUUUUAUACAUUCAGUAAGUUUUUGAAUAAGAAACCAAAACAUUUAGAAGAAGAGUAAAAGGAAUUUAAAGAGAGAGAGAGAGAGAGAGAGAGAGAGGGAGAGAGAGAGAGAGAGAAGGGGAACCGGGUAAGAAGAGGAGCAGCGGCGAGCCGUUCAUGCGGGCGCCGCACUCGAGCGGGGAGAACCAGCGCGGGGGCGCGUCGUCGGGGCGGACGAGGUCCCUGGACCGCUCGAUGUAGUCCCUCACGCCGAGCGGCGCCGCCUCCGCGCCGCCCUCCUCGUCGUCGCGGCGGAGAUCCGCCCCCCUCCUCCUCCUCCUCCUCCUCUCCCCCCCGUGGACCCGGUUCACCGUCGAGGACUCGGAUCCCACCGCAGCCGCGCAGCCACGGACGUCGGGCGGCCCGGCCGCCGCGCGAGGGACGGCGGACGGUGGCGGUCAGGAGACGGUGCGCCCGCAUGGGCGGUAACGGCGACGAUGCGGGAAUGACGAGGCAGGGAGGGAGAGGUGAGCGCAGCGCCGGAGCGGCUGGCGGCGCGACGGCGCGGGGGCAUGCGGAGGAGGAAUGGGGGUGGAGGCGCGGCCGUGUUUUGUUGGAGCGGCCAUUGCAGAGAGAGGUAGGGAGAGAGUUUUUAAAAAGAGUAGAAGAGCGAGAGGUCGCUCUGGGAGAGGAGCUCUGCUUCUAGAAUUUUUAGCUAUCUAGUAUUAUUAUUAUUAUUAUCAUUACUUAUGUUUAUUAUCAUUAUUAUUAUUUUUACAUUCGGGCUAAACGGUAACGGUAGCGUCCGUCGAGCAGCUGUAUUUAGAGUGGUUAUUAGAGUAACGUCUAGUUUAUCCUUGUACUUAGGAGACCAUGAGAUGGAGGGCGACAAUUUAUUUGGGUCCGCUAAAAAGUUGUUAGGAUUAAACUUUCCCAUCAAUCAAACACAAUUAAAUUACACAUCCAGAACGAAAUUUGAAAUUUUCCAUUCGGCAUUCCAGAAUUAAAAUUCGGGAUUCGAAUUCAGAUUUAGAGUUUAGUAAUUAUAUUUACAAUUUAUUGAAUUUUGGAUUCUGCUUAAGAAAUAUAGGGGACUCUAUAUGUAACUCAGUCUGUUUAGAAUUUAAUUAUUUAAUUAAUGAUUAAACUUAAAUACGGUUUAAAUGUAAAUAAAUUAGAAUAAUAUAUAUCUUAUAUAAUAUACUAUAAUAUAUAUAAUAUAUAUAAUUAAAGUUAAUUUUGAUAUAACUUUAUAAUUAUAUUUUAGGUUUGAUAUGCUUUUUUUAAGCGAAGAUAAAAGAGGACAUUAUUAUAUUUUGUGAUGGGAUUAAAUUGUUUAUUAUUAUAUUGAGUUUGUUUUAUUUUGAGUUUCACAUUAAAAUUGUAUUUUGUGCUUGCUAAAUCUUAAAUAUUAUUCAAUAAAAUAUAAGUACAUAAAAAUUUAAAUACGACUGUAAAAUUUUAGCUAUAUUGUUGCUAAUUCUAUUUAUAUUCAUAAGUGCAUAUUAGUAUAUAUUAUCAUUUAAAUAAUAAUUGAAUAUAAAUUUUAUUCAUAUUCUAAUUUGAAGAAAUAUCUGAUUAUAUUCAAAUUUGCUAUUUUUAGCGAAUAUAAUACUAAAAAUUUAGCACCCGACGUAUAUUCGCAUUCGAAAAAAACAUGAAUACGAAUAUGAUUUCGACACAUACCCAACAAUAUUGGACCGUUUUUACCGGCAGGUAGAGAUGAUACGAGCUCCAGGCGAAGGGUAGGGAAGCACUGGGUCCGGAAAGAAUAGUUUCACGGCAACAUUAAUAAAUGUCUCGAUCUAAUUCCCCUUAGUCAGUAUUGAGACAAUUUUUGCCUAACUCAUUGCACUUUUUAAGUCUUUCACAAAAGAAAUUCGUGCUGCUCACUGAGAGUGUCCACGUCAUGCUCCGAUUUUGUCCUGCUUCUAUCUAAUUCAAAAGUCUUUUAGGUGGAUUUCAGACUUAGUUUUUCUCAAUGAAAGCAGGAAUUUUUGUCCAGCUGUAGGUCUCAAGUAGAGGGAGAGAGAAUUUCUUUUUCUACAAGACUUGUCUUAUGAAUGUGAAAGCCGACAAUAUAGAGUAUUUAAAUAUUUUUAUAUUUAAAAAUAAGAAUGCAAGUGAAUUUAGGUUGAUGGAGCUCCCGUCAAGAUCUAUUCCGUAUGACACAAUAAUUAAGGGUCAAAAUAGGAAUACGAAUAAUUCGUCUCGAAUGUGUCAUAGCAUGCUAAAAAUUGGAAUAAGCGGUAGAAGAUUCUUUAUUUUUUUUGAUUCAUUCUGAUUCGCCAAAAAAAAUACUUUUAUCUUAAUUUACCCCAAAAUAGAACAAUAAAUAAGAAUAAAAAAAUAAAAAUUAAUCCGUUCUAAAUAUCCUCCGAUUCUUUAAAAGAAAAUGGGGCGAGAAAGAUCCUUUUCUUCUAAAUGCACGAUUUAUAAAAUUCACACUUAAUUUAUAUGCGCAUAAAACAGCGUUACUAAGAUAAAAUAAUGUGUGGGCUCCACUUCACAUGUCACUGUCACGAGCAAGACAUGCAAGCGUAGACAACAACUAUUCCGUGCAGAGGUGAAGUUGAAACUUGACGGCGUGGAGGCGGUGGAAACUGACGGAGUUAUAACAGCCGUUAGAGUGAGAUCAAUCUAUGAUGCGGAUCAUGACGCCUCACCUGAUUUGUUUAGUUGGUACAUAACAUAAAAUAAAAAUAAAUAGGGCUUGUUGCUUAUUUACCCCUUUGCGAAGGGCAUAUUAGGAAUUUUGUCUUGAAAAUAAAUUUUUUUUAACAAUUCUUUUUAUAAAUUUAUAAUAAUAGCAUAAAGAAUUUAUCUAAAUUAUAAACUAAUUUGAGUCUGCGAAUCAUCCAAUCGUGUAAUUUGUUUAAUUUCAGUCGGUCAAUGAUACUUUCGAUUUUAAUUCUGAAUACAUCAUUUAUUUUUACAGGUUUACUUAGUACAUUUUAUAUAAUUUUGGACUAUAUUUUUUUAAAACAUAAGUAGUUAUUUUAAAAUUUGAUGUCAAAUUAUUAUUGAUUAACUCAAAUCAAAUAAAUAAAUAAAUUAUAUAGUAAAAAAAUUAAAAUUUUUAAAAGUUGAGUAGUCAAAUCAAAAUAAUUUAUAGCACAGGUAAAUUAUGUACGAUUUUAUCAAAAAUUUUUUUGAUGGCUGUAUAUUAUAAAUGGAUGAGGCUAUAUNNNNNNNNNNNNNNNNNNNNNNNNNNNNNNNNNNNNNNNNNNNNNNNNNNNNNNNNNNNNNNNNNNNNNNNNNNNNNNNNNNNNNNNNNNNNNNNNNNNNNNNNNNNNNNNNNNNNNNNNNNNNNNNNNNNNNNNNNNNNNNNNNNNNNNNNNNNNNNNNNNNNNNNNNNNNNNNNNNNNNNNNNNNNNNNNNNNNNNNNNNNNNNNNNNNNNNNNNNNNNNNNNNNNNNNNNNNNNNNNNNNNNNNNNNNNNNNNNNNNNNNNNNNNNNNNNNNNNNNNNNNNNNNNNNNNNNNNNNNNNNNNNNNNNNNNNNNNNNNNNNNNNNNNNNNNNNNNNNNNNNNNNNNNNNNNNNNNNNNNNNNNNNNNNNNNNNNNNNNNNNNNNNNNNNNNNNNNNNNNNNNNNNNNNNNNNNNNNNNNNNNNNNNNNNNNNNNNNNNNNNNNNNNNNNNNNNNNNNNNNNNNNNNNNNNNNNNNNNNNNNNNNNNNNNNNNNNNNNNNNNNNNNNNNNNNNNNNNNNNNNNNNNNNNNNNNNNNNNNNNNNNNNNNNNNNNNNNNNNNNNNNNNNNNNNUAUAUAUAUAUAUAUAUAUAUAUAUAUAUAUAUAUAUAUAUGAGUCCAGCUACUAUACUAUCGAUAGUACCAAGCCUUUAGUACUAUUGAGUUUUCUACCGUUAGAUCUACCUUUUGAUUAUUUCCAUCCGUUAGAUUAUACUAUUAAACCAACCACCCACUCAACCGUAGGGGACUACUAUCAUCCAAACCGCACAUCUUUUCAUCCAACAACCGAAAACUCAAUAGUACCAAAGGCUUGGUACUAUUGAUAGUAUAGCAGCAUAAUUUUAUACUAGUGUGGAUACCCCGCGCGAUGCGGCGGGUAAAUAUUGUUGUAGUAAAAUUUUUUCUUUGUCAAGACUUGAAAAUAUAUAAUGAUUAAAAAAAAAAAUCUAAAAAUACCUCAUAAGUUUGCGAAAAAAAAAGCGACACAUCCUAUCAGUGCACAAAUUCCUAAAUAAAGAGGGCUUAAAGCAAUUUAAUCAGCUUACGUACAAUAGGCAAAAAGGAAGAAGCAUUUGAAACUUAAAACCAACCAAUAUAACUGCAUUGAUACAUAGACAAAUCAAAACGUUCCUACUCAAUAUAUAUAUAUAUAUAUAUAUAUAUAUAUAUAUAUAUAUAUAUAUAUAUAGCAUGUGGUCUAGGCCCAAUAAUAAAUAAAAAAUUACCAUUUUACAGCAUAAAAAGUUCAGAUUCAGUAAACUGCGGAUGAACAGGAAUAACAGAAACAUAGCCGAAUUAGCAAAGGAAGAUUUUAGCUUCGACCGAUAGAUUUAUUGGUUGAAAAUUUGUUCGAACCGAAGUAAUGAUAGACUAAUACGAUAAUUUGAUAUUAAUUGAAUGUAUAAUGAGCUUAAAAAGUCAGAUUACUAUGACAACUUGAACAAAAUUCAACCUUGACAUCAUCAUAUUGGCACCGGCCAAUAAAACUGUAUUGAUACAUAGAUAAAUCAAAAAGUUCCAAAUGAAGUAUUUUAAAAUGGCAAAGGUAUGACAGCUAAAAAAUGUUAAAGUGCAAAGAUAUAAAAACAAAUUCUAUUGUAUUAGUAAGAUACACACUUCAAGAAUGUCCGAGAGAUCCAAAAUUGGACUAUUAACAAAACACCUUGAGAGAAUGAGAUGUACACGAUUAAGUUUCACAGAGAAGCUCUUUUUACAGAUCCAAGUGAGCGGUUUGAAAGCAUUAUGAUUAGCAGCAUUAAGAUGUUAAAAAAAAAGAAAAAUGUUGUGACCUCUUCAACUAUAGGCUAUUUUUAUAAUUGUGAGGAGCAUCAAAAAAGGGAUCUUUUUUCACCUCCAAAACAUUCGGUUUCGUUAUAAAGAGGAACCACGAUCGUGACGAGUCAAUCGGCGAGCAUGGUAAUGAUGAACCAGGCGUUCGCAAGCAUGAAGGCAUAUGGGUUAAUCAACAAAUAUUAUAUUAUCAAAGCACUCUAAAUCGAUGUUUAUACUUAGAUGGUGUUUUGAUUUAAUUGUGUGCAGGUUAUAUUGGUCAAGCAUAAUCCGAUUAUUCGAUUAGCAGACUCAGUUAACAAAAGUUAUACAUAAAACCAAAGAGAUAUAUAAUCACUAAGAUCAACUAAAAUAGUUACCUUUAUUCCAUUAGCAUGCCACCUCUAAGAGCCUCAGGAACAUCAUCAUAAACAACCCCCUGCAGUUCCUUGUUCUGAAAUCUUGUCCUCCAUAUAUGGCCCUGCAUGUCAGCAUGAAAAUAAGACAUCUCUAACAGCUGUCAGCUAUGUUCUACUGAGACCAAGUUACAUUUGCUACUACCUGCAGUUGUUUAAGUGAUGUGAUUUUUCGAUCUGCUUUGAUCAUGGCUUCGACAUUAGCGACUAAGGAAUUGAUCACUUCCUCUUUUCCAGCAUCAUCGGGUGGAAUUGGAACUGCCCCCGAAACCCCUCGCUUCAAGUCGUCCUCAACCUGUCGAAAAUCAGACCAUAAACACAAAAAAUAAUGAAAAGUAAGGAGAUUAUUUAUCAAUUUAUGAGCUCCUAUUGAUUCUCCAACAUGGAGUUGAUAUGUCAGGAUCUAAAUACUCAACAGAGAACUAAGAAUUCGCAGCAUUUGACACAAAAAUCAUAGCUCACAACUUCGAUUCAGAAAAAACAUAAAGCACAAUCAGGUCGUAAACACAAAAAAUGAUGAAAAGUAAGGAGAUUACUUAUCAAUUUAUGCGCUCCAAUCGAUUCUGCAGCAUGGACCUGAUAUUAGAAAUAAUACGUAAUUAUAUCAAAAUUGGUGAUGAAACAAAUUCGCAAACUUGCAUAAUUUGGCUAGUUCAAACUAUUGAUGGUCAUUAAAAAAAAUUUAAAAACGAAACUCUUAAGGGUGAUGAGAGAAACUAAAAUGGUAAAUUAUUAAAUAGGGACAUAUACAAUUCAAGGACAAAAACUUGCUGAAAGUUGCAAAACCAACAGAAGUUGGGUUCAUUGCAAGAAUGUUGAGUAAAGUAACAUGUUUGUAGAGUUAUUCAUGACCAAAAUAAAUCAAAUGGGAUUAGUAUUAUUUGUUGCAAAGAUAAUAUAAAAAAAAUUCAAUACAUAUAUAUAAUUUAUUUUGCAAACAAAUCAUAUGCGAAAGCAUUGUGAUAUAUAGCAUGCGGUCCAGGGCCAAUGAUAAAUCAAAAAAUUACCACUCCACAGCACUAAAAAAUUCAAAUUUAGCAAACUGUGGAUGAACAUGAAAAAACAAAUAGAAAUAUACAGCUAAUCCGCACGCCUAUAUAGCUUCUUACCAUUAUGCAUUGUGUACAGUUCUUCUCUAGUUAGGAAUUGUAUAGUUGGUCCAAAAUAAUUAUAUGUUAUAAAUAUAUUUUAACUGUUUUGUAAAAAUAAGAGUUUAAAAACCAGUAUAUAGUGCAAAAAUGAAUUAAAAAUUCAAUCACCAUUUGAGCACCUUGCAGGGUGUCCUGACGAAGAAGAGCAUAUUAAAAAACAAAACAAAACAAAACAAAACAAAACCUAACCUUUUUAGAAAUUAAAUACACACAAAACUCUGAAAAUUCAUAUAUAUAUUCAACUAUAUGCCAUUUUUAUAAUUGCGAGGAGCAACAAAAAAAGGAUUUUGAUAAAAUUGUUUAAAUUCUACAACCGAAUAGCAAAAGAGGAACAUCAAAAGAGGUUUUAACUGUUUUGUAAAAAUAAGAGUUUAAAAACCAGUAUAUAGUGCAAAAAUGAAUUAAAAAUUCAAUCACCAUUUGAGCACAUUGCAGGGUGUCCUGACGAAGAAGAGCAUAUUAAAAAACAAAACAAAACAAAACAAAACAAAACCUAACCUUUUUAGAAAUUAAAUACACACAAAACUCUGAAAAUUCAUAUAUAUAUUCAACUAUAUGCCAUUUUUAUAAUUGUGAGGAGCAACAAAAAAGGGAUUUUGAUAAAAUUGUUUAAAUUCUAAAACCGAAUAGCAAAAGAGGAACAUCAAAAGAGGGAGUUUUUUCCUUUUCUCACCUCGGAACCGCUCGGCCUCUUGAUUGUAAUCGAGAAGCUUCUGCUCGAUUCGCUUCCCGGAGGUGAAAUCAAAGCCCGCGGAGGUGAAAUCGAAGGCCGCGGAGGUCUCGCUACCAAAUCUGAGAUGGAAAAAAUCAGAAAGAGAGAAAUAGGGUUUUUUUUUUGCAAAUAAAAUUUUUACAGAGACAUACUAUAUAGGCAGCAAGAAGGGACCACGGAGGAUGAAUCCGAGCCAUUUUCGCGACCGGAGGGAAUGAAUAAGCCGAAACGAAGCGCCGCCAAUAGGAACGACGCGACCGGAAGAAGGGACAACCAUGAAUUCGGCCCAACACUCCAUCCGGAGAGGGAAUAGGAGUCAGAGCGGCAUCUAGGGGGCGAAUGAAACGAAGCGUCGCCAAAGGGAACGGACGCGACGCCAAGAAGUCCAGCCAUGAACCCAGCCCAACAAUCCGUCCAGAGAGGGAACAGGAGUCGGAGCGGCACCUAGAGGAGCGAGCGAAGGAGCCGAGGGUGGAAGACGAAGCAAGGAAGAUUAGAGUGCCUUAAGAUGACAGGUAGGGCCCACAGAAGAUUAGAUUAAGCUAAUGUUGCCACGUGGACAAAAGAAAACGGGGAUUCAUUAGAGUUUAUAGAUAUAUAAAUAGAAUUAGACUGGAAUACUAUUAAUAGUAAAACCCUUUUUUUGCCAUCAAGUUUUUAACCUUUGGAUGAAAAAUUGUAGGGUUAGGAUGAUAUUAGUCAGUUAGAGUUGAGUGGUCCCCCUAGGGUUGAGUGUUCCCCACUGGGUUAUAGUAUUUAAUCCAAUGGUUAGAAAUGAUGAAAAGAGUUGAUCCAAAGGCUAAAAAACUAGUAGCAACAAUGGGAUUUUGCUACUAAUAGUAGCCCAGUCCAACUCUCUCUCUCUCUCUCUCUCUCUCUCUCUCUCUCUCUCUCUCUAUAUAUAUAUAUAUAUAUAGCAUAAUUCUACCUACUAUACUAUCGAUAGUACCAAGCCCUUGGUACUAUUGAGUUUUCUACCGUUAGAUCUACCUUUUGAUCAUUUCCACCCGUUAGAUUAUACUAUUAAACCAACCACCAACUCAACCCUAGGGGACGACUAUCAUCCUAACUGCACAUCCUUUUAUCCAACGGCCAAAAACUCGAUAGUACCAAAGGCUUGAUACUAUUGAUAGUAUAGUAGCAUAAUUCUAUAUAUAUAUAUAGAGUGAGGCUACUAUGCUAUCGGAAGCACGAAGCCUUCCGUGCUUCCAGCUCGUUUUCGAUGUUGCGACUUUCGAAUUGUCGAUCGGCUCCGUUAUACUUGAUUUAGAGUAUUUGGAGUACCUAGAAAAUAAAUUUUAUUAUUUUUCGAUAUCAUUUGCCUAGUAGUCGAAUGGGCUCAAAAUCAACAAAUUUGAAUGGCUGAAGUGAGCCGUUUGUAAGUUUAACGAUGUAGAAAUAUUCAAAUCACGUGAAAUUUUGAUAGAAAAUUCUUUAUACUAUAUAAAACAAGAUCAAUAUUUUUGAUUUAAAAUUUUAAUAUCAUAUUAUUAUAUUUUGUAAGAUUUUUAUUUUCAGCCGUUGAUUUUGACCCACUUCGAUCACUAGGCAAAUGAUAUUAAAAAAUCGCAAAAUUUAUUUUCUAGAUACUUAAAAUAUUCUAGAUCAAGUCUGACAGAGCUGAUCGUCGAUUCAAAAGUCCCAACAUCGAAAAUAACUUAGAAGCACGGAGCACUCCGUGCAUCCAGAAGCAUACUAGACGCACUAUAUAUAUAUAUAUAUAUAGAGUCCGGCUACUAUGCUAUUAAUAGCACGAAGCACUUGGUGCUACCAAUUUUUCCGCCGUUAGAUCUACCCUUUUGAUCAUUUUCACCCGUUAUAUCAUACUAUUCAACCAACCACCCACUCAACCCUACGGGACCCACAUCAUCCUAACCACACUUCUCUUAAUCCAAUGGCCAAAAAUUUGGUAGCACCAAUGACUUUGUGCUAUUAAUAGCAUAGUUCUAUAUAUAUAUAUAUAUAUAUAUAUAUAUAUAUAUAUAUAGGCUGGGGCUACUAUACUUANUUGACUUUCAAAAAUCUAUAUUUUGAUCUCUUAAAAUUUCAUAAAUAAUUUCAGAAAUGUACGACGUUAAUGAAUAAGGCAAAAUCAUCAAACUAUUCUUACUUUUUCUAUAAAAAAAUAAUUUUUUAAUAUAUUUCUAUUAUUUUGAAGAUUAUUUUCGUUAUAAGAGAUAGAUAGAAUAGUGAUAGAAUUUUAACGGAGGGAGACUAAAUAUAAUAACUUAAAAUGUUGAGAAGUAACAUAUAGAUUUUUGAAUGUCAAGAAGGAAAGAGAAAAAAAGUAUUUAUUAAUUUUUUUUUGUAAUUUAAUCUAAAAUUUAAAAUAAAAGCUCAAAUUUAUAACUCUUGAUUUUGCAAAAAAAUAUUAAUUAAAAUAACAUAAAAUAUACUUAUUAUUAUUAUUAUUACUAUCUAUAUAAUCUAUCUAUCUAUAUUCUAUAUACUCUUUGAAUUUUCAGUUCAAACAUGCAACAUGGCAUUAGAACAGAGAGGGUUCGGCGAGAAAUAUCAAAUUUUAAUAUUAUAUUUAUGAUCUAGUAAGCGGUCAAUUUUAUAUUUAAAAUUUUUUGAAAUAUCUAAAAUAUGAUUUUUAUUAAAUAGUUUAACAUAUUCUUUACUAGAAUUAAAUUACUAAUUGAACAAAACCUCUACUAUUUUUAUUUUUUUAAUUUUUUUAAUCUUGUUUUUUUAUCUUUUUGUGCUAGUUUUUAAAACUUAUAUAUUUAUUUAUUUUUGCUAAACCAACCCGUCGCAUCGCGCGGAUCCCUUCACUAGACAGCUCAGAAUGAAAUACAGAAGAGACAUGGGCCCCACGAAAUUGAAUAGAAUAAGCUCAUGCGUGACACAUGCACGCACAAGGGUUUUUUAGUGCAAUAGUCUUAUCCUAAAAUUUUAUUCUAAAAUUAAACUUGUUAAAUUUUUAUUUAUAAAUAUAGUUCUAUAAAAGCGGUGAAUGGUUCACCGCAUUUAAAAGUUGUGAACCAUUCACCGCUUUCUUUCUUUUUCUCACUUCUUUCUAUAUUACUAUGAUGGUAAAAACGGUAAUAGUUCACCGCUUUUAUUAUUUUUCUAUUCAUAAUGAGGAGUUAUAAAUGAGGUGAAUCAUUCACCGCAUUUAGAGAUCUAUUUUUAUAAUUAUUUUUUUUAAAAAAAAUAUUUUUAUAAAUAUAAAAAUCGAUAGGAUUAUUUAUAAAAAAAAUUCCACGCACAACCUAAACUAAAAUCUAAUACAAUUUUAAAAUUUUACUAUGUUUGCGUAUAGUUACCUAAAGAAACAUUAUAGGAUCCGUAUAAUUUAAUUUUCUUUUGUUUAUUCUCUGUAGAGGUAUAGUAUUUCUUAAAAUAUUUAUUGAUGUACUUUGUAAAUAUUAUAUAAAUUAUAUAAUUUAUAUAAUCUCACCUAAUCAAACCUAAUCUACCGAAUAUAUUUAUAUCUAAUUUAAUUGAUUCGUCAAAUUGAAUCUGGCAUAGUGAACAUACUCUGACAAAAAAAAUAAUAUCAAAUUAAAUUAUUUAAUCUAACGUUUUAACUAAUAUGAUAUAUUUAAUCUAAUUUAAUCUAAUCUAAUCUAUGAGUUAUGAUAUAAGUUGCAUCAUCAACAAUAUUCCUAAAAUAUUUCCUUUCCUAGAUCAUCAUUAUCAAUGCAUGGAUGCAACGACAAUAAAUUAGUGUAGUUGUAUUUUUCUUCCAUUAAUACUCGAAAACUCUUAAGAUGCAAAAUUAUGGGCAUAUUUAUUUCACCGAAAAUGAAGAGCAAAGUGAUUUUUAUCGUAAAUGCUCACUUUUGUUACUUGGUUUAUUUUGAAAAAAAAAAGGCUAAAUUACAUAAAACUCUCCCGUCAAAAUUCAAUUUUUCACUUUCCCCCCUGUAAUUUAAAAACCUACACUUUACCCUCUUGUAAAAUAAAAAAUAUUCACAGGGGGUACGGUGUGAGACUGUAAUGAUAAAAUAAUCAUUUUACCCUCUUGUAAAAUAAAAAAUAUUCACAGGGGUACGGUGUGAGACUGUGAUGAUAAAAUAAUCAUUUUGCCCCUCACAAUUUUGCCUUUUACCAUGUUCACAGGAGGGAAGACUGAGGGCAUUUUUGGCAUAAAAAAUAUAUAAUAAUAUUUUAUAAACGGAAUCCUAACGGAUUACUAACUGUAAGGGGCGAAGUGAACAUUUUUCAAUUUAUAAGAUGGCAAAGUAUAGAUUUUUAAAUGAUAGAAAGAAAAAGUGAAAAAUCGAGUUUUGACAGGAGAAUUUUAUGUAAUUUAGCCAAAAAAAUAAAUAAAUAAAUAACUGCGCUUCUAAACGAAGGUGUAAUUGACUUCACCUAAAUUAUGCCAAAGUCAAUUACAAAAAACUAAUUGGUGCGGUUUUUAUAAUAAACUUAUUUAUUUUUUUUAAAUGAUUAAAAUAUUUGUUAUUUUAGAAUAAUUUUUAAAUUUUUUAAUCAAAAUAGCAAUUUAAAUAGGAACAUUUUGAUCUUUCAUAUUUUUAAAUUAUAUAUAUUUUUAAAAUUAUAUAUUUUUAAAAUAAAAAAAUUAGGAGCUGAUUUAGAGCAUAGUUUGGACCGUCGUAGUUCGUUCCUUUCUUGCCGGAGGGCCGUGCUGAGCUCGAGGCUUAAAAAGAUCCGGACCGNUUAAAAAGAUCCGGACCGGCCGGUCGCUUUUGAUCCGGAUAAUGUGAGCCGCGCUACACCCCUAGCCGAAAAGGACAUGUGCCUUUUUUCCGAUUUCUUUCUUUUAGGACUGUAUCACUAAACAAUAGGGACCGUUUGGAGUUAACAUGGGAAAAUAAUAUAUAUAUAUAUAUAGGGUCCGGCAACUAUCCUAUUAAUAGGAUUGGGACCCUUGUCCUAUCAAGUCGAUUUGAAUGAUCGGAACUUCAAAUUAAUAAUCAGUACCGUUGAAGUUGAUCUACACAAUUAGAAAUGUUUAGAAACCAAAUUUUGUAAUAUUUAAAAAUCAUUAUCAAAUUCAUUUUAAGAGUUGAAAAAUGAAUGGUCAUAAAUGAAUAAUCUUUUUAAAAUAGAGGUUAGACUUUCUCAGUUCGUAAUCAGAGUUAUCAAACGUUAUUUAAAUAGUAUAAAGAAUUUUCUAUCAAAAAUUCAAGCAAUUUGGAUUGCUCUACACCGUUAAACAAGCAAACGGUUCAUAUAGACCGUCAAAAAUUGUUGAUUUUACGACACUUUGAUCACCAUGUAAACCAUUAUCAAAAUUUAUGAAAUUUAGCUUCUAGAUAUUUCAAAUAUUCUAAAUCAACUUCAACAGCUCCGAUCAUCGAUUCGGAAUCUCGAUCAUCAAGAACAACUUGAUAGGACAAGUGCUGCUAUCCUAUUAAUAGGAUAGUAGCAUUAGCCAUAUAGGGUCCGACUACUAUCCUAUUAAUAGGACUGGGACCCUUGUCCUAUCAAGUUGUUCUUGAUGAUCGAGAUUCCGAAUCGAUGAUCGGAGCCGUUGAAGUUGAUCUAGAAUAUUUGAAAUGUUUAGAAGCUAAAUUUCAUAAAUUUUAAUAAUGAUUUACAUGGUGAUCAAAGUGUUGUAAAAUCGACAAUUUUUUACGGUCUAUAUGAGCCGUUUGCUUGUUUAACGGUGUAGAGCAAUCCAAAUUGUUUGAAUUUUUGAUAGAAAAUUCUUUACACUAUUUAAAUAAUAUUUGAUAACUCUGAUUACGAACUGAGAAAGUCUAACCUCUAUUUUAAGAAGGUUAUUCAUUUAUGAUUGUUCAUUUUUCAACUCUUAAAAUGAACUUGAUAAUAAUUUUUAAAUAUUACAAAAUUUGGUUUCUAAACAUUUCUAAUUGUGUAGAUCAACUUCAACGGUGCCGAUUAUCAAUUUGNCCAUGAUGCAUUCGUGUCCUCACUUUUUUUAUCUUUCUAAAUACAAAACCAACCUUUUCAUCUCCCCUAAAGUUAAUAAUUUUUCUCUGAUCGCUUGAACUAUUAAUAUAUUAUAUUAUUUUACAAAAAUUUUAAAUAAUAUUUCUGUACUUUCACACUUUCUCACGUUAAUAUACUGUGAUUUAAAAUAUAUCACUUUUAUACCCUAUAAUUUUAUUUUUCUCUUUUUAUUAUCUCCCCCACUAAUUUUUUUUAUUAAAUCAGUAAGAGAGUUAAUAUUAAAGGAUAUUAAAGUGAAUAUUUGAAAAACUAUAGAUAGGGUAUCUGAAAUUUUUUAUACAUAAUUUAACAAAAAGUUAACAAAAGAGGUGACGAAAAGAAAAAAAAUGAAAUCAUAGAAUACUAAAUUGAUAUAUUUUAAAUCAUAACAUACUAAAAUGAGAACGUACAAAACUACAUGGAUGGUAUUUGAAAUUUACCCCUUUUUUAUAUCUAUAUUGAAGUUGUUAGUUUGAUAAUUUGGAGGAACAUUAAACCAAAUUAAAACAAAAUUGAGGAAAAUUGAUCUUCAAAUAAAUUAAUCGCAUACCAUUUUGUGCACCGAAUCUACAAGUUUCACCAAACUUCUGGAUGUCCAGCACAGUCACAAACAUGAAUCAAUUAUCAUCAUACAUUGGAUUUGUGAAAAAGAACAUAACAAUGAUGUUUAUGAAGCAAUGUACAAAUAAUGAAUCAGGAUGAACAUUACCAAAUAAUUGCAAAUCAAAGAAGGCGUGUGAUUAGAGGUCAAAUGUGGGCACUUCUACAUUGAACCCAUUAAUGAGCUGAAAAAGAGUCCUUGGGAAUAUGUUCCUGUAGGGGUCUUUCUCUCUCUUCUCCUGAAGGAAAGCAAGACACCUCUCCACCUCACACUUCACAUCCCUAUACA
rnacentral:lncRNA from 1 species